AAAGCUUAAUUUACAGGAUCCUUUAUCAAAGAAAGAAGGAAGCAGGGAUUGACAGCAAUCCUUCACUCUCUUUGAACAGAACCAAUCCAAUGGUUGUAGGGACUUUCUAAAAAAAGCCGAAGAUACCCUUCCUGAAAGCUGGAACAUCUACCAUUUUUCAGAGAUUUCCGUCGCCAACCCCGACUUGGCGACACUUUUUAGCUCAUCAACAGAAAUUCAGAAAGGAUAGACUUCAGAAACAGUCUUCUUGUCCAUCUGUCGCUAAUAAUAACAAAAGUCAUCGUCUGACAAAAACGAAAUCGCUGGAAGACAGCAGAGGUUCCGGGGUUGAUCCAGGUUCUAUCUUUCAAUACUAAUAUUCUUUAUCAAUUUUUUAUUCUUUUCAUUCCAGGAUUGGCCCAAGAAGAGACGUUAACAAAGCAAAUAAAGCUGAACUUUUGUCAGUGGACUUGUUUUAAGGAGAAAAUCAGUUCCUUUCUAUAGAAUUUUAUUUCGUGCUGCUAGGGGAAACAUGUUUCUCGAACAACCGUCAGAAGGUCAUAGAGAUAAAGGAAUCACCGUAUACCUACUUUUGCAUAAACAAAUUCACACCUAUGGAACCGCCAG
rnacentral:lncRNA from 1 species